rnacentral:rRNA from 1 species
GCUUUAUCUCCCAACCAAUGUGAACCAUACCAAACUGUUGCCUCGCCGGGG